UACAGAGGGUGCGAGCGUUAAUCGGAAUUACUGGGCGUAAAGCGUGCGUAGACGGUUUUGUAAGUCGGAUGUGAAAUCCCCGGGCUCAACCUGGGAAUUGCAUUCGGGACUGCAAGGCUUGGGUGCGGAAGAGGGAAGCGGAAUUUCCGGUGUAGCGGUGAAAUGCGUAGAUAUCGGAAGGAACAUCAGUGGCGAAAGCGGCUUCCUGGUCCAGCACCGACGUUCAGGCACGAAAGCGUGGGGAGCAAACAGG
rnacentral:rRNA from 1 species